GACGAACGCUGGCGGCGUGCUUAACACAUGCAAGUCGAACGGAAAGGCCUGCAGCUUGCUGCGGGUACUCGAGUGGCGAACGGGUGAGUAACACGUGGGUGAUCUGCCUUGCACUUCGGGAUAAGCUUGGGAAACUGGGUCUAAUACCGGAUAGGACAGCUGUUUAGUGUCAGUUGUGGAAAGUUUUUUCGGUGCAAGAUGAGCUCGCGGCCUAUCAGCUUGUUGGUGGGGUAAUGGCCUACCAAGGCGUCGACGGGUAGCCGGCCUGAGAGGGUGUACGGCCACAUUGGGACUGAGAUACGGCCCAGACUCCUACGGGAGGCAGCAGUGGGGAAUAUUGCACAAUGGGCGGAAGCCUGAUGCAGCGACGCCGCGUGGGGGAUGAAGGCCUUCGGGUUGUAAACUCCUUUCGACAGGGACGAAGCGUAAGUGACGGUACCUGUAUAAGAAGCACCGGCUAACUACGUGCCAGCAGCCGCGGUAAUACGUAGGGUGCGAGCGUUGUCCGGAAUUACUGGGCGUAAAGAGCUCGUAGGUGGUUUGUCGCGUCGUCUGUGAAAUUCCGGGGCUUAACUCCGGGCGUGCAGGCGAUACGGGCUGACUUGAGUGCUGUAGGGGAGACUGGAAUUCCUGGUGUAGCGGUGAAAUGCGCAGAUAUCAGGAGGAACACCGAUGGCGAAGGCAGGUCUCUGGGCAGUAACUGACGCUGAGGAGCGAAAGCAUGGGUAGCGAACAGGAUUAGAUACCCUGGUAGUCCAUGCCGUAAACGGUGGGCGCUAGGUGUAGGGGGCUUCCACGUCUUCUGUGCCGUAGCUAACGCAUUAAGCGCCCCGCCUGGGGAG
rnacentral:rRNA from 1 species